UGGGGAAUAUUGGGCAAUGGGCGAAAGCCUGACCCAGCCAUGCCGCGUGAGUGAUGAAGGCCUUCGGGUCGUAAAGCUCUGUGGGAAGGGACGAAAAAAACCGACCUAAUACGUCGGGGCUUGACGGUACCUUCUUAGCAAGCACCGGCUAACUCCGUGCCAGCAGCCGCGGUAAUACGGAGGGUGCAAACGUUGCUCGGAAUCAUUGGGCGUAAAGCGCACGUAGGCGGUCGGCUAUGUCGGAUGUGAAAGCCUCGGGCUUAACCCGAGAAGGGCAUCCGAAACUGGCCGGCUUGAGUACGGAAGAGGGUCUCGGAAUUCCCGGUGUAGAGGUGAAAUUCGUAGAUAUCGGGAGGAACACCAGUGGCGAAGGCGGAGACCUGGGCCGAUACUGACGCUGAGGUGCGAAAGCGUGGGGAGCAAACAG
rnacentral:rRNA from 1 species